GAUGAACGCUGGCGGCGUGCCUAAUACAUGCAAGUCGAGCGAACAGAUGAGGAGCUUGCUCCUCUGACGUUAGCGGCGGACGGGUGAGUAACACGUGGAUAACCUACCUAUAAGACUGGGAUAACUUCGGGAAACCGGAGCUAAUACCGGAUAAUAUAUUGAACCGCAUGGUUCAAUAGUGAAAGACGGUUUUGCUGUCACUUAUAGAUGGAUCCGCGCCGCAUUAGCUAGUUGGUAAGGUAACGGCUUACCAAGGCAACGAUGCGUAGCCGACCUGAGAGGGUGAGCGGCCACACUGGAACUGAGACACGGUCCAGACUCCUACGGGAGGCAGCAGUAGGGAAUCUUCCGCAAUGGGCGAAAGCUUGACGGAGCAACGCCGCGUGAGUGAUGAAGGUCUUCGGAUCGUAAAACUCUGUUAUUAGGGAAGAACAAAUGUGUAAGUAACUAUGCACGUCUUGACGGUACCUAAUCAGAAAGCCACGGCUAACUACGUG
rnacentral:rRNA from 1 species